rnacentral:tRNA from 1 species
GGUGCUGUGGCUCAAGUGGUAGAGCACUAGCCUUGAGAGCUAGUAGAGCUGAGGGACAGCGCCC